rnacentral:tRNA from 1 species
GCAUCUGUAGUGUAAUGGAUAACACAUAAGAUUCCGAUUCUUAGGAUAAGAGUUCGAUUCUCUUCAGAUGCA